rfam:Bacillus cereus strain G9241 plasmid pBCXO1, complete sequence.
GAUAACUGUUCAGAUAAGUGGUAGGAAUGAAGGAGUAACGCCCCGAAACUACCCCAGUGAGAUUCCCAACUGCAUACACUAGGCAUAGCGUGAUGUGGAGAGCAGGGUAAAAUAUACGGUCACGGUUCGUAGUGCACAACUGUGUAACCGAAAGCCAACAGGAGUAAUAAACCGGUUGGAACUAACCAAGUACCGUAUGCUGUCAACCGA